rnacentral:lncRNA from 1 species
AUCUCAUUUGUCCCAAGAAAAUGAGAGAUUUCUACUUGCUAUCAGAGAACCAAAAUGAGAAUUUUUUGUGUUUGACAGAGAGCAAUUAUAUAUAUAUAUAUUCGCAAAGAGGUCUUUAUCUACCUAAGGCACGAACCAUCUUGUGAUCCCAAUAGUGUUGGUUUAUGUCCUCCACGUAACACGUUGAGGGAACAUGGAAAUGACUAUCAUCCGUCUGGUCUUGUUAGUACUCGCUUGGGUACAAAUCUUUCCAGUUAUUUAUAAAACUUAUACUAUAUAGGUUAAUCAACCUUUUUUUAAAGAGUUACGCCCCUUGGAAAUUUAGAAUUUAUGGCAAAUGACCUCAUUAGCCUUCUUAUGAUGACAAUUCUUGCCA